UGUUCGUCCUGCCGCGCGGUGCGCAUCGCCCGUGGCCCCCGUUCCUGGAGCCACGCGGGGAGCCCUGGCUAGCAAAGAGUUUUCCAAUAAAUGAGCAUUUCCAGAUUCCCCAGACGGAGCCCGAGGGGAUGAGCUUUGUCAGAAGGGCCUUCCCUGAGGCCUUGCUGUUUCUGCUGGGGACCCGGGGUGCCGAGAACAAGCGAGAGCAGAGCAAAGCGGCCUGGCCUGCUGUGGUGUGGGGGGUGGUGAUGGGCACCCGAGAGGAAGGCCGAACCCACCGUCCCUGGACAGAGACCCGGUGGUGAUCUCCUGGCGGGCGCCCUGGAGGUGGUGACCGUCUAUCUGACCUGCCUCUUCUUCAGGGACACAACCUUACAAGGAAGGACUAUAUCUCCCACCGGUACCUGGAUGUGAAGGCAGGAACAUCAGUGAGACGGUAUAGAAAGGUACUCAUUGUUGAAAAGGAAGCAGCGCCAUUGGACUGAGUGGGAAAAGCCGAAGAUGGGAAGAGUUCGUAAGACGCCCGGAGGGUGCGUGCAAAGGUCCUGACCUUCCCAUAAUUGAGGAAUACGUUUCUGGAGGUGACCGGCCGUGUCUGUCUGUGUUAGAUGCCCUGACUGCAGUGUUCCAGGCAGCACUUCCUCAGGGUCCUCAUGAUUGUUAAAAGAUAUGAUCAUUGUAGCAUUCAUAGUUUUCUGUUGCUGAAGUACACGUUUUAUAACAGCUUCAUUGAGAUAUAAUUCACGUACAAUUCACUGAUUUAAGCUGUACAAGUCAAAUUGUGCAACCAUCACCACAAUUGAAUUUAGAGCAUAUUUUCACUCGGAAGAACUGUACCCACAAGUAGUCACUCCUGACUCCUCCCUGCCCCCAGCCCCUGGCAGUCUCUCAUGGCCCCUUGUCUCUAGAUUUUCCUAUUCUGGGCAUUUCGUGUCAAUGGGAUCCUACAACAUGUGGGCUUUUGUGACUGAUUUCUUUCCCUUUGCAGGUGUCUUCAAGGCUCAUCCAAGUUGUAGCCUGGAUCAGUACUUCACUGUUUUUUAGGGAAGAAUCCUGUUCCGCCGUAUGGUUCGACCACUUUUUGGUGGUGCGGUGUGGGGGGUGGUGGAAUCCAAUUCCAUCAGUUGAUGGACAUUUGGAUUAUGCAUAACGCUGCUGUGUGCGCACUGGUGUCUAAGUUUUUGUGUGAAUAUGUGUUUUCAUUUCUCCUAGGCAUACGGGAAGGAGUGGAAUUGCUCGACCAUAUGACAGCUCCAUGUUGAACCUUUAAAGAACUGCUAGACUGCUUUCCAAAGUACAUGUUUUCAGCAAAGCAAGACAUGGUACCAACGCUACGGCCUUUCAGAAAGUUCUGAUUUUCAUCGAGACCUUCUUGGAGGUGAUCUCUGCAGCCAGGUGCCUGGGGCAGGUGUCCAGGAGGCCCGUGGAAGAGAGUAGAGGGGGCGACCAGGGCAAGGAGAAAAGGACAGGAGGAGGAAGAAAAAGCAGGCAUGGCACUAAGGCAGGGCAAGAGACGGUCGAGCUGCCUUUUAGAGGCUGCCCACUCCUAAGCCUGAAAUCGAUGAAUAUAUUUGUAUUAUAAGUAAUUCUCACAAAUGCUUGAUUGAGGGACGUGUGUCUGGGCUCCACGGGGAGGGCUGAGCAUCGCGUCCUGAGCUGCCGCCUGUGCUUGGCAUGACUCACAUUCGGGGGGGAAGGACGGGUUGCAGAGUGACUCACCUCACCUCUGGCCGCGCUUCUCUACCCGGACACACAGAAGAAUCCCCGGGAAGAUGUUACACACAGCGCUGCCGGGGCCUCACGCCAAGACCCUGAUGGGCCGGUCUGGGCUGGGGCCUGGCGGCAGGUGUGGUUUAAAGGCUCCCAGGGCCCUUAUGCAGCCAGGGUGGGAACCACUGCUGCAGAGACACAGGUUUUUUACUUCAACCUGCAUUCUCGAGACAGACACGGGGGUGACCUCUGGAUGCCCUGCAGAACUUUUCCGGAAGCGCUUCAGAGCCCCAAUUGUUGCUCCUUUCGACGGGUGCUAGAGAAUGAGGGAUUUUGACUGCAGUAUUACUUUGCCUCCUAGUGUCUCUCCUGGCCAGAAGUCGUUCUGUCUUGGGGUCAUAGAGCACACCUGUAGGGACCCACGCGACUCUCUCGGCGGAAGAGGGGUACCAGCUGGACCAGGACCAGGCACGUGUGAAAGCAGCAUGGCUUCUCAGGGAAUCUGGAGGCUGGAGUGGGUUCUCCACCUUGAAUUUGGGAGAGGUGCUCUGCCCACAUUCCUUCCUUCAGAUUCCUGGGCACCUUCGAAGUACCUGCCCUCCACAGCCGGCUCUCCUCACAGCCAGAUGGAGCACUUAAAAAAAUUCAUAGGCCAUCAUUUCCUUCCUCAAAGCUUCCAGAUGGCUCCUCAUCAGACUCGGAAUUAAACUGCAGGCCCUCCAGCCUGCCAAGGCUUCCCCUGCACCCGCCUGCCCAUCCUCUCCCUGCUCUCCUCCCUCCAGCCCUGUGGCCUCGGCUGGCCUCUUCCUCUGGGCUCUGCACCAGCUCUUGCCUCUGCUUGGACCGGCCUUUCCCAGGUGAUCAGUGGGUGCUUUUCUUGCGACCCCACGAGAUGACAAGCCUCUCCAGGCCCCUGGGCCGGCCAUCGGUGCGUGAGUGAGGUCAGCUGUGUGGAGGGGUCCCCAGUAAGACACUCAAGACUGGGAAGGGAUAAGAAUAUAAAGAAAGGAUGUGCUGGGAGGUCUGUACCCCAAAGUUCUCCGGAACAGGUAACUCAGAAGCGCCAGCUCAGCGCAUCUGAGCCUGCACUGGUUCCCUCGCUGCUCAGAGUGGCAGGGAUUUUACGCUUGUGCAAGCAGGUCCUCUCAAAGAAGUAAUUUUCUCUGCAGGACACAGGCUCAGCAGUAAAUUUCCAGGCUUUUACAAGAAGAUGAAAAGUGAGGAUCGUAUGGAAAGUUCUAAUCACACACGAGCAGCUCCAAUCUCUGUCCAUUAAAGAUGCGGCCACGAUGUGACAUAACUUCUCUCUGUCUGUCUGUUCUCUCUCAACUCUGACACGUGCUUCAUGGCAGGUCUACACGGCAGGAAGUAAACUGGUGAUCGUGCAGACAGACACCUUUGGACGUAACACAGGCUUUGUCUCCCGUUUUUAUAUCUUUAAAUGAGAUAUUUUCAUGUUGUAUACAAGAUAUAUUUAUAUCUAAUUUUAGACAAUUUGGAAAUAUAUGGACUAAAGAAAAAGUCACCCGCAGUUCCACCACUCAGAGAAAAGUCAAUAUUUUUUAUCUUCCUGCGUGGGAAUACUUUGAAAUUUUUAAACUUUUGCUCGUGCUUAUGAAAGCCAUACAUCCUCAUCAUAGAAAUUUUGGAAAAGGCAGAAAACUGUAACGCAGCAGAGAAAUAGGUCAUAAUAUAGGAAGAUCUGUGGGGGAAGAGUAUUCCACCACAACACACGUGGGAGGCAGAAGCGAGGGCUGGCUGAGAACCCCGGAAGGAAAAGACACAAAAUAGAAACAUCCCUCCAGGGGAGUUCCCUGGUGGUCGAGUGGUUAGGAUUCUGGGCUUUCACUGCUCUGGCCUGGUUUCAGUGCCUGCUUGGGGAACUGAGAUCCCACAAGUUGGGGGGCGGGAAACAAGGGCCUGAAAGGAGCGACGCUGACGCCUCUGAGCAUCAGCUGCUGGAACUGCCAGGACAACGUCUGACCAGCAGGGUGACCAGGGUGGUGACCGUGAGGGGCUCUGAGGCGGGGAGAAGGGUGGAGGGCAGCGUGCGUGCGUGCGUGCGUCUGAGCAGGGGACGGCGGAAGGAGAGGGGUCCUGCUUGCACAGACACUCAGGGUGGAGAAGGCCAAGGGGAAGGACAGGGAGUGAGGGGCAGUGGAGGCUACAGAGGCGGCCCCUGGGGGGCCCGGAGGGGCCGGAGGCUGCCGCCUCGGGGCAUCCUGCAGGUGCUGAGGCCCUACAUCAGGCCCUGGGGUGCAGGUGGCCUUCUCUGCGGCCUGGAGGGACUGUCUUGGCCGUAAGUCACAGCUCCUGUGCGCCAACCGGGACACCAUCUACCCAAGGAGACCCAGGCAGGGUGACGCGAGGGGCGUGGGGAGGCGUGGGCUCCCCCAAGUUGGCUCUUUCGAGAACGUGGUCUCGUGGGAAGUAUGAUGCUGGGAGUUCACAGCAUCCUGGUUCCAACCCAGCUUCACCCUGGCCGGCCUUACCUACUCUUCUGUUUAUCUUGUUUUUGUUUGUUUGUUUGUUUUAAAGAGAAAUCAGUGCCUGCCCUGCUUACCCGUCAGGAGAAAUAUAAGAAUAAAAUGAAGCGGUGAACACAAAAGACUGUUCCUGUUACUUACAGGAAUGUUCUGUGGCCGAUCCCCACGCACCCUUCAGAUCUGUUGGUACCGCACUCCCUCCAGGAGCCUCCGGGACCCCCAGAUGCGUGAGGCGCCCCCAGUCUGAGCUUCCGUGGCGUCUGACUGGCCGUCAGUGGACACCUCUGGCUGAGCUGGUGCCCGGGGCCGCCUGGUCCCUGCCCCCCACCCCCCGCCCCAGCCCCCAGCCAGUCUUUGCUGGCUGAACGAGUGAGUGAGUGUUGCAACAGUUCCUCGUUUGCUUUAUACGUAAGGAAACCAGGGAUGGAGAGAGAGAGAGCUGAAGGAAGAAAGCAGGAGACUCGGGCUCCUUGAGGCACCUUUGCACCCUGGACUCGCCACCUUCCGCUGAAAACUGCCCCACGAGCUUUUAGCACUAAUGGCCCUGCGUUCUAAAAUGAGGAGCAUGCUUCUUGAAUCUCAUCAGGAAUAUUUUCAGGAAAGAAACAAACGAAGAUUUGGGUAGGUGAAAAAAAAAGUUUGUAUUUUCUUUAAUAAAA